UGCGUCCCGCACGCGCAGAGAAGCGAGCGAGCCUGGGCCCGGUCGUGUGGCCGUUUGCGUCCCGCACGCGCAGAGAAGCGAGCGAGCGAGCGAGAGAAGAACAAAGCGAGCGAGCGAGCAGCUGUAGCGAGAAGAAAGGGAGGAAGGUAGCGAUUCUCGUGACCUAGCCCGCGCGUUUCCCCUGCGACCCCCGCCUCCUCUCCUGCCGCCGGCGAUGCUCGUGACCUAGCCCGCGCGUCUCCCCCGCGACCCCUGCCUCCUCUCCUGCCGCCACCACCGCCGCCGGAGAAGCUCACCUCCGUGCCCACAAGCCUCGAAUCUGGCGGGAUCCGGGACGAGGAGGGGUGGAUGAGACGGGGGAGGAGGAGGAGAGUGUGGGGGCGUCUGGGGAGGAGCAAGGGGUGAGAAGAUGAGAGGGAGAGAGAGAAGAGGAGGGACGUGAAGUGGAGAAGAGGGGGGUGUGGCAGGGCCGGACCACCGUCCUCUUCCACUCCAUCAACAGGCUUUCUCAACAGCAGGCCGCACCACCGCUCGAAAGCCGCCGGUCCUCUUCCACUCCAUCAACAACAAUUUCAGCGGCAGGGAGUGCUUGCCGUAGUGGAAAUGAAGCAAGAAUUGGAUGGAGCUCAGGAUUUUGCUACUACCUUGCUAAUAGCUUUGUGAGGUAAUUUGGCUACCUAUUUGUGUGUUUCUUUUCUGCUGUACCGAUGUCUAUUUUAAUUUAGAAAAUAGAAACAUGAAAUGUGAUUUAAGCAUCUCAAUAGCAGAUGUUGUUAGCAUGAACAUAAUGUGUACUGUACCUACUGACAAAUAGCAGUCUAAUUCUUCCAAAGCAGUGGCUGUCGAUGGAGACCUGGUUUUACUUCACGAAACCAUUUGCUGAAUUUUUUUAAGUUGGUUGCACACCAUGUCGGCAGGAGGGAGGGAGGCAGGAAGAGAGAGACAUGGAGAGGGAGAGGGAGAGAGAGAGAGAGAGAGAGAGAGUUCACACACCAAAUCCAAUUUUUUCUGUAAUUAUUAUGGGCAUGUCGAUUUCUGUUAUGAACAUGGCAAUGUAAUUUGAUAAGGUUAAUUUUGUUCCCUAAUGUGGUGUUGAUCACUUUGUGCUUCUUUUCGUAUUGGUGUGAAAAAUUAUUUCUUGGGUGAUGUCGACAUAGCCAUUUGUGCUCUUGUCGACCGCUCCACCCACUAUCAUCAAGAUGAGUUCAUGGUGCGGGCUUUGGGGUUUUGAGGGCGUGAAAUGGCAUGGAAGACAGAUGGCAGUUACCUGCAUCCUCGAGUAAUGCUUGCUAAAGGGAGUAGGCCAAAACGCUGGAGUUCGUGAUAUUGCUGCAACUAACAAGCCAUAUAUGCUCUGGAUCAGGUUUCAGAAAGAACUGUUACUUUGUUGUUCCUUCAAUAUACAUUUUAUAAAGAUUACCUUAGAACUGUCUGAACAGUUUGGUACAUAACAUAUAUUCAUAAUUAUCUCAGGCUGUGUGGUAGUUGUUUGACACGCGCAUCCACGUUCGUUUUCGUGACCUGGAAGCAAGGCCGCGCGCGUUCAAGCUACUUAAAAAAAUAAUGUACAGUGGGUGAUUAUAUAGAUUCUGUUGUCAUGUUCCUUUGUUUAAAAUCUGGGAACCUGGAUCCAUUCAGGCCUAUCUUGGUGAAGCGCCGCACGAGUUAAGCAGAGGCAACUUUGAGGAUUUCACCUGACAGACUAAAGGUUUUCAUAUGGGGAUAUUGCUGCAUGUGUAAGUAUCUCGCGUGCGGUCAACUUAAAAUGUGUUUGCGUGUGUGCCGGCCUGGCCUGUACAAUGUAUCAUGGGAUGAUGAUCUGGCUGUCAGCAAGUGGAUACCAUGCUGCUCUGAGGAACCAGGCGCUCUAAGAUGGACAAUGCAUGAGCUUGCGAUGGGAGGCUUUUCCUCACAGAUCGUCGCACCUGCAGUACUCAUGAUGGAUGUCCGGGACGUGAUCGCAAGGCACAAGCCAAGUGUCAGCAUGGAGGACCUGGAGCAGUACAAAAGGUUCAAUGAGGAGUUUGGCAAGCAGGGCUGGUCAUGAAGAUACACAAAGAGAGUACUCCAUUGGUACUGAAGAAAUACUGCACGAAUAUGGUUGGUUGUUGUUCCUUGGAAGUAGGAUUCGCCGCGUCCAAACUCGAGAGGUACCCGCGCGCUGCUGAUAAUACCCGUAAACAAAUAAAUCCACCGGCGAGAAAUGCUUCAUAUGCUGCUUCUUUUUUUGUUCGGUCGAUUCAGACUUUCUGUAUCUUGAGUGGCUUUCACCAUUGGGCAAUUCAAGCGAUGGAAGGUAUUUUUCAGUUAUAUUGAAGCUAUUUUGAAAUAGUGAAUGCUUGCAUGAUUUGUGUUCUUUUAUGAAGGGGUGUCUGUGCUUUUGCAUAAAUGUAUAACCGUAUAAGUGCAAUAUAAAGGCUACUUAGAAGUAUAUACAGUAAGUUAUCUACUCUCUGCUUCAUGACCUGGAUAAAGAAUAUAUAAUUAGCUUUUGGCUUUAGGAACACUUCAUCAGUUAGUACCUCUGCGAAAGAUGAAUUAGCGUCUCCUGAAAGAAGAUUCAAAUCCACUCAUUUAGAGGUCGAUCUAUCGCCUUGCCCAGUCCUUCUAUUUUUCAAUGUUGCAGAAUAGGAAUGCCAUAUGCUCAUUUAUUUCCUUUGCGCCAUUUUAAAUUCUACACCUUAUUUUUUAUUAUGAUGAAUCAUCAAUAUCAUACAUUUGUUACUCUUCCUGAUUAUCCAUAUUGUUUUCGGGCAUAGAUUUAGAAUGAUUUUUUCAUGUUCUUGCAAAGCAGAUGUGUUAAAAACUAUUGCUAUUUUACUAUUUUCAGAUGCUACAACUGUCGAUACUAAAUUUCGAAGAUAUAUUCAGGAAACUAAACAAGUUGAUGAGGAAACUGUUGUUGCAGCUGUUGAAGAUGCAAAUAAUGUUCUGUGUGACCAACCUAAACGCAAAAGGUAUAGACUCAUACUCUGCUACAUUUAACCCGUUUCAUAUAAGAUGUGUGUCAGUGUAUGUGCUACUGAACUUGGUGCCACAACUAUUGUUUGUACAUCGGAAAGAAUGCUUCUUCUCUUUCACUAAUGCAUGCUAUUUGACCAGUCUUUUUUUUUUAUCACUGAUGUGUGCAAGUUGAUUAACUAUCUAAUAAAACGAACUUCUACUUUCAGGGUCCAGUAGAUGUUCUGUUUGCCGUCCAUUAAUUCUCUGGUUUGUUUGCUGUUACAUGUACAAGCAAUGCUUACUGCUUCUCAGUGAUCAUACAAGAUAAAUAGCCUUUUCUGUUUUUCACUGAUACACACAAGCUAAUUAACCAUCGAAUAAAAUGAGAUGUGUUUUCAGAUUCGUUAGGUCUUCUGUUUGUUUACGUUAUCCGCUAUUUGUUGUUGCAAACCCUUAUGUCCUUGUUCUUUUUAUUCCAUCGUAUGCAUCUAGGUUGUUUGCAUUGAAAAUCAAAGUACUCACAUGACUGUUACUUUUGCUAAUGAAUGCAUCUUUGGACUAAUACUGGUGCCAAGGGCGCCAGCUCUGCAAAGAAAGCAAGGCGGUAGCUUUUCGGGUAUUUUUGUGUGUUCCACUUGCUUCUCAAGCUCGGUCUGCCACUAGGAGGUUGUGUUGUUGAAGGGAGCUUCUUCACUGUAUCGCAUCGCAGCAGUGGUCUGGCCAUCGGGUCUCAAGAUUGUACCUUGGCACACUUUUGGGCAUGCACCUGAUGUAUUUUGUGCAUGUUUGCAAAGCAAGACUUUGACACUCGAAGAACUAUGUCAAGCCACUGUCAAUACAAUCCCCUUAUUUAAGUCCUUGAACAAGUGGACUCUUAUGCGAUGUAAAUAUCAUCGUUGGCCCAGCGGGCCUUGACUCUACUUGGUAUUCAUCGCUGCGUACCUUACUCACGCAACCUAAAUGACCAAAGCUUUCUAUACGAUGGACCUCUGCCGAUGUAGGUUGCCUCAUAAAAGCAAUGUAAAUAAGCUAUCAUGAACUGAUCUCAUACUUUUCCUAUAACGCUAUGUAUCAACUUCAUAUCUAAAUAUCUAUUUUCUUAUUAGUUCAA